rnacentral:rRNA from 1 species
GUAGGUGGCAAGCGUUGUCCGGAAUUAUUGGGCGUAAAGCGCGCGCAGGCGGUCCUUUAAGUCUGAUGUGAAAGCCCACGGGCUCAACCGUGGAGGGUCAUUGGAAACUGGGGGACUUGAGUACAGAAGAGGAAAGCGGAAUUCCAAGUGUAGCGGUGAAAUGCGUAGAGAUUUGGAGGAACACCAGUGGCGAAGGCGGCUUUCUGGUCUGUAACUGACGCUGAGGCGCGAAAGCGUGGGGAGCAAACAGGAUUAGAUACCCUGGUAGUCCACGCCGUAAACGAUGAGUGCUAAGUGUUACGGGGUUUCCGCCCCUUAGUGCUGCAGCUAACGCAUUAAGCACUCCGCCUGGGGAGUACGGCCGCAAAGGCUGA